GUGGGGAAUCUUGCGCAAUGGGCGAAAGCCUGACGCAGCCAUGCCGCGUGAAUGAUGAAGGUCUUAGGAUUGUAAAAUUCUUUCACCGGGGACGAUAAUGACGGUACCCGGAGAAGAAGCCCCGGCUAACUUCGUGCCAGCAGCCUCGGUAAUACGAAGGGGGCUAGCGUUGCUCGGAAUUACUGGGCGUAAAGGGCGCGUAGGCGGACAGCUUAGUCAGAGGUGAAAGCCCAGGGCUCAACCUUGGAAUUGCCUUUGAUACUGGCUGUCUUGAGUUUGGGAGAGGUGAGUGGAACUCCGAGUGUAGAGGUGAAAGUCGUAGAUAUUCGGAAGAACACCAGUGGCGAAGGCGACUCACUGGCCCAAUACUGACGCUGAGGCGCGAAAGCGUGGGGAGCAAACAGGAUUAGAUACCCGUGUAGUCC
rnacentral:rRNA from 1 species